AUGGCCUGGGCCCCGCUCCUCGUGGUGCUCACGUACUGCUCAGGUUCCCUUGCCGAAUACGUGCUGACGCAGCCGCCCGCAGUGUCUGUGUCUCUAGGACAAACUGCUCAGCUCACGUGCAGGGGAGAAAAGUUUGACAAAAACUAUGUGUACUGGUACCAGCAGAAACCUGGCAGUGUCCCCAAGCUUGUGAUGUACAAGGAUAAAGAGAGGCCCUCUGAUGUCCCUGACCGGUUCUCUGGAGCCAGCUCUGGUGACACAGCCACCUUGACCAUCACAGGAGUCCAAGCCCAGGACGAGGCGAACUAUUACUGCCAGGUGUGGGAUAGCGACAGCAGCACUCACCACAGUGACACAGGGCAGUGGGGAAGGUCCCCCUGCAAGGAAGGGCACCAGGAGGGGCCCUGUCAGACCUGCCUGAAGUGA